rnacentral:rRNA from 1 species
CACCGCGGUUAGACGAGAGGCCCAAGUUGAUAGACACCGGCGUAAAGAGUGGUUAAGACAUAAUAUUAAACUAAAGCCGAAUGCCCUAUGAACUGUUAUACGUAUAUUAGGGUAAGAAGACCAAUCACGAAAGUAGCUUUAUUUCCCUGAACCCACGAAAGCCUUGGUA